GAGUUUGAUCGUGGCUCAGAGUGAACGCUGGCGGCAUGCCUUACACAUGCAAGUCGAACGGUAACGCGGGGCAACCUGGCGACGAGUGGCGAACGGGUGAGUAAUGCAUCGGAACGUGCCUGGUAGUGGGGGAUAACUGCUCGAAAGAGCAGCUAAUACCGCAUACGACCUGAGGGUGAAAGGGGGGAGUCGCAAGACCUCUCGCUAUCAGAGCGGCCGAUGUCGGAUUAGCUAGUUGGUGGGGUAAAGGCCCACCAAGGCAACGAUCCGUAGCUGGUCUGAGAGGACGACCAGCCACACUGGGACUGAGACACGGCCCAGACUCCUACGGGAGGCAGCAGUGGGGAAUUUUGGACAAUGGACGCAAGUCUGAUCCAGCCAUGCCGCGUGCGGGAAGAAGGCC
rnacentral:rRNA from 1 species